AGCCACCUCACCUUGCUCUUGACUUUCUCCCUUAACCAUACCCCCACCUUCCUCUUCGCAUUCACCCUCAACCAUACCCCCACUUUCCUCUUGACGUUCACUCUCAGCCAUAUCUAGGGAUGGCAACGGGUCGGGUUCGGACCAGAUAAUAUGAUACCCGAACCCGACCCGCAUAUACAAAGUGUGCUCGUUACGCGCCCCG
rnacentral:lncRNA from 1 species